rnacentral:rRNA from 1 species
UGGGGAAUAUUGCACAAUGGGCGAAAGCCUGAUGCAGCGACGCCGCGUGAGGGAUGACGGCCUUCGGGUUGUAAACCUCUUUCAGCAGGGACGAAGCGCAAGUGACGGUACCUGCAGAAGAAGCACCGGCUAACUACGUGCCAGCAGCCGCGGUAAUACGUAGGGUGCAAGCGUUGUCCGGAAUUACUGGGCGUAAAGAGUUCGUAGGCGGUUUGUCGCGUCGUUUGGGAAAACCAGCAGCUCAACUGCUGGCUUGCAGGCGAUACGGGCAGACUUGAGUACUGCAGGGGAGACUGGAAUUCCUGGUGUAGCGGUGAAAUGCGCAGAUAUCAGGAGGAACACCGGUGGCGAAGGCGGGUCUCUGGGCAGUAACUGACGCUGAGGAACGAAAGCGUGGGUAGCGAACAGG